GUCUUUGGCCCACUUUGCAACGUGUAAAUAUUUUGGAAGUGUGUGUAGAGGGGUUUCUUUCUGCUGCUGCUGCUGCACAUAGACACAUCAAUGUGUCUCGUGAAGGCUAUUGGUCAGAGAUGAAGUCUUGAAGAAGCGUCAAUGGCAGGUCUAGGUAGUCCACGUUCUCCAAUCAACCCGAAACGUCUAGAUUGAGACUUUUUUUUAUUUUUUUCAGUUCUAUGAACGAAUGAAGCUUGUAAAUUACUUCUCAUUACUUUUUUAUUUUUCAU
rnacentral:lncRNA from 1 species